ensembl:ncRNA ZK180.16 ncRNA
CAUUCAUUGUUUCGACCCCGAGAGCAAAAAAUGGAAAAUGAAAAGAGCUGCAGCUUGAGCAGCCGCCGCUGCAUCAAAAAUGUCGUCGCCCGAGGGCCAAUUUUUCUUUCCCACACCGGAAGACUUUCAUGAAUUUCUCGCUUUUUUCUUUCUAAAUUGGGCCACCACCACUAAAACUAA